AGAUUAGCCAUGCAUGUCUAAGUAUAAGCACUUGUACUGUGAAACUGCGAAUGGCUCAUUAAAUCAGUUAUCGUUUAUUUGAUUGUACCUUACUACAUGGAUACCUGUGGUAAUUCUAGAGCUAAUACAUGCGAAAAGUCCCGACUUCUGGAAGGGAUGUAUUUAUUAGAUUAAAAACCAAUGCGAGUCUUCGGGCUCGUUUUCUUGGUGAUUCAUGAUAACUUUUCGAAUCGCAUGGCCUAGAGCCGGCGAUAUUUCAUUCAAAUUUCUGCCCUAUCAACUGUCGAUGGUAAGGUAGUGGCUUACCAUGGUUAUAACGGGUGACGGAGAAUUAGGGUUCGAUUCCGGAGAGGGAGCCUGAGAAACGGCUACCACAUCUAAGGAAGGCAGCAGGCUCGAAAAUUACCCAAUCCCGACUCGGGGAGGUAGUGACAAGAAAUAACGAUACGGGGUCUUAAUAGGUCUCGCAAUUGGAAUGAGUACAAUUUAAAUCCUUUAACGAGGAUCAAUUGGAGGGCAAGUCUGGUGCCAGCAGCCGCGGUAAUUCCAGCUCCAAUAGCGUAUAUUAAAGUUGUUGCAGUUAAAAAGCUCGUAGUUGGAUUUCGGAGUGGGCCAGUUGGUCCGCCGCAAGGUGUGUUACUGACUGGUUUGCUCUUCUUCGCAAAGACUGCGUGUGCUCUUNANUGAGUGUGCGUAGGAUUUACGACGUUUACUUUGAAAAAAUUAGAGUGUUCAAAGCAGGCUAUUGCUUGAAUACAUGAGCAUGGAAUAAUGGAAUAGGACUUUGGUCCCAUUUUGUUGGUUUCUAGGGCCGAAGUAAUGAUUAAGAGGGACAAUUGGGGGCAUCCGUAUUUCGUUGUCAGAGGUGAAAUUCUUGGAUUUACGAAAGACGAACAACUGCGAAAGCACUUGCCAAGAGUGUUUUCAUUAAUCAAGAACGAAAGUUAGAGGAUCGAAGACGAUCAGAUACCGUCCUAGUUCUAACCAUAAACGAUGUC
rnacentral:rRNA from 1 species